rnacentral:rRNA from 1 species
UACGGAGGGUGCAAACGUUGCUCGGAAUCAUUGGGCGUAAAGCGCACGUAGGCGGUUCGGUAAGUCGGAUGUGAAAUCCCUCGGCUUAACCGAGGAAGUGCAUCCGAAACUGCCGAGCUUGAGUACGGAAGAGGGUCUCGGAAUUCCCGGUGUAGAGGUGAAAUUCGUAGAUAUUGGGAAGAACACCGGUGGCGAAGGCGGCGCUCUGGACCGAGACUGACGCUGAGGCGCGAAAGCGUGGGGAGCAAACAGG